rnacentral:rRNA from 1 species
UACAGUCACACUUGUCUUGACUUGAUACACACUACACACGAAUUUUAAUACACAACGGAUAACUCAGGGAAAGUUUGGCUAAUACGUACGAGUUAUUAUAAAACACACACACAAACGAUUUAAUUUUCUCAGCAUUCAAUGGAAGUUUUUUUUCAAAAACACACACAUGAAAGACAUUGAAUACGCAAUAUAUAUUCUCACGAAUGUAUAUACGCUGAGCAGACUUUAUUUUUAUACUUUAUUGUAUAUUUAAAGCAUGUCAUACAAGCAUCUAAAGCAUCAAGUCACACCGUUGGCAAGUGUAUUUUUGAACCUUCAAAGCAGUCACGCAUACGGAAGAGUAGUUUCUGAUCCCAUAGAAGGAGCACAGUACAAUGAGAGACCGCUCUUAGUUCUAAGGAACGCAGCAGGCGCGUAAAUUGCCCAAUGAUAGAACAUUUUUUAAUUUAUUUAAACAACACACGAACGACACACACACACACAAAAAAAACGUAUCCUUGUUUACUAUAUAUCUCUUUACUGAGGCAGUGACAAGCUGUAAAGGUUGAGUAUUUUAUUAAUGACAAGUGCUUAGCAUUGCCGCCUGGUUCGCUAGGCUUGGCAUUUUUGCUAGCGCUUUGUAUGCUCAAUUUGAAUGCGGUGAGUUCAAGCAACUCAGAACCUUUGUAACGUGAUUUACUUUGUUGUAUUUCAUGUUCAUGUAUCUGAAUUUUUCAAGUGGAGGGCAAGUCUGGUGCCAGCAGCCGCGGUAAUACCAGCUCCACUGGCCUAUACAAUCAUUGUUGCGGUUAAGAGGCUCGUAGUUGGAUUGAACAACAUAACAUAUAUAUAUAUAUAUUUAUUAUACUACACACACACACAAAACAAAAAACAAUAAUAAUAUACUGUAUAUAUUUUUUCAACACUGUGAACAAAUCAGAGUGUAUCAAACAUGUAUUUUUUUAAAAUGCGCAUUGAAUGUCUUAUCAUGGAAUGUUGCCUUUACAAUAAUUUACAUAUAUACACAAAACACACACACACAACACAGAUGUCGAUGGGGAUAGUUGGAGUCAACAGUACUGCGGGGCGAGCGGUGAAAUGCAUUGACCCUUGCAAGACUACCAGAAGCGAAAGCGGUUGACUAGGCUAUACUCUUUGUGAUAUAAAUUUUUAUAUACAUAUACACACACUCUUUUUCAAUGUAUAAUAAUUAUUUUACAUAACACAUUACAAUGAAGAACGAAGUUUAUGCAAACUCUCUCUCAACCUGCAAAAAAUUUUAUUUAUUUAUAUAGCUUGAGCUCUUUGUGGCUCGCUAUGUAUUGAUAAUAUAUUUAUGCACGGUCUUAUGACUGACGUUUCAUAAUUUUGAUAAUAUUUUUUUUAUUGUCACACAUGCAUGUAAGCAAAAACAUUUUUUUACUAAAAUGUUAACCUACAUAUGAUUUUCGAUACUUUGCGCUCAAAUAAUUUACUGGUGAGAUGUAAGCGUUAUACCGUAAUUAUUUUAUUUACACGUAUUUAACUUCGGUUAUUUUAUCGUUGUAAUAUUAAUUUUUACAUUUAUAUAAAUAAUAUAUAAUGUGAUGCACGCGUUAGGUACAAGCUUACUGCAGAAAUGUCUAAGACAUUCCCCUCCGGGGGUAGUAUGCACGCAAGUGUGAAACUUGAAGGAAUUGACGGAAGGGCACCACAAGAACGCGUGGAGCAUGUGGCUUAACUUGACUCAACGCGGGAAAUCUUACCGGGUCCGGACACACUGAGGAUUGACAGAUAUAUGCAUAUAUAUUGCUUUCUGGCAGUAUAUGUGUGAAAGAUGCUAGUUCUUUCAUGAUUAUGUGAUAGGUGGUGCAUGGCCGUUCUUAGUUCGUGGAGUGAUCUGUCUGCUUAAUUGCGUUUCACUUUUAUAGAGAUAUUUAAAACGUAUAUAUUUAUAUUUAUUUAUUUAUUUUAUGCAUAAAUUAUCUCUCAGUUGAAAGCAACGAACGUGACCGUUGUCUUUUGUUGUCUAUAUCCCUUUAUAAAUAGACUUUUUUUUAAUAAACAAAACUAAAGAGACCGCUGUAUUUUCUUUUAAACCAGAGGAAGGUAACGGCAAUAACAGGUCUGUGAUGCCCUUAGAUGUUCCGGGCUGCACACGUGCUACAAUAAUUAUUGCAGUGAGCAUCUCAUAUUUUUUUACACUGUUUUAAAUUCUAACAGCGUUAUAUACUCUUUCGAGGGUAUGCUGUUCUGUUUUGAAUUUACAGUAAAGCCUACAUCGAGAGUUUUCUUUUACGUGGGUAAUCAAUUAGAAGUAAUGAAUUUCCUAUUUUUGUAUAUUUUAUGCAGUAUUUUAUAUCCACUUGUAUUUUCAUACAAGACUGCGUAUAUAUUAUAUUUUUUGCACAUACAAUUGUCAAUUUAUAGUGGGGACAGACCAUUGUUAAUUGUUGGUCUCGGUCUUAACUAGGAAUGCCUUGUACGGGUCUUUGGUUCAACAAACCACCCGGAAUACGUCCCUGCCCUUUGUACACACCGCCCGUCGCUCUUACCGAUGAACUUCUCUGUGAGUUUCAGGGACCGUCCUUUUUAUAGGAAACUUAAACGAACAGUGUGGUUUAAAGGAAAGAGAAGUCGAACAAGGCA